rnacentral:rRNA from 1 species
GACGAACGCUGGCGGCGUGCCUAAUACAUGCAAGUCGAACGCACAGUUUAUACCGUAGCUUGCUACACCAUACACUGUGAGUUGCGAACGGGUGAGUAACGCGUAGGUAACCUGCCUGGUAGCGGGGGAUAACUAUUGGAAACGAUAGCUAAUACCGCAUAAUAUUGAUUAUUGCAUGAUAAUUGAUUGAAAGCUGCUAUUGCAUCACUACCAGAUGGACCUGCGUUGUAUUAGCUAGUAGGUGAGGUAACGGCUCACCUAGGCGACGAUACAUAGCCGACCUGAGAGGGUGAUCGGCCACACUGGGACUGAGACACGGCCCAGACUCCUACGGGAGGCAGCAGUAGGGAAUCUUCGGCAAUGGACGAAAGUCUGACCGAGCAACGCCGCGGGAGUGAAGAAGGGUGUCGGAUCGUAAAGCUCUGUUGUAAGAGAAGAACGGGUGUGAGAGUGGAAAGUUCACACUGUGACGGUAGCUGACCAGAAAGGGACGGCUAACUACGUG